GUGGAAGCUACCGCGCAUGCUUACAGACCGUGCCUCGUAGAGAGGGUAUGUUGUUGCGGCCUCUUUGGUUGCAGAGGGGCUCGUUCGUCGGCCUCGCAGGUUGAUAUCCGUACAUCAGCAUACGUUUCAAAGUUUACGUCGGAAACGGCACUGCUAGAAAGGUUUCUCUCUCGUGAAGAGCCGCAGGACUAGUACCGACACUGCAGCCUCUUCCCAGACUCCGGGGCCGCUGCGUACUCGAGCGGGUCCAGGAACUGUGCGCCGUUUUUGGAGACAACUGCGUCAGUGACUGGACACCAACUGGGAGCUGCUGAGAACAUGCACUGAGUUGCAGCGUGCGCUGCUCAGCCUGCGCUGGACAGGCAGGCGACCUUGCUUCGACGCUGCCGGCGCCUUCUCGAGGCCGCCUUCCAGGACAUCUAGUGGACCGGCCUGCAGCAUUAGCGUUGCUUUGAGGACACGUGUGUAUGCAAGUAUGCACCAGCCAGUUGGAGCGCUGGUUCGCUGCUGAUGGACGAAGGCUGCGCACUAGUCGCAGUUGUCACGCGGAAAGCUUUCAUGAGCUUUCUCGCACGGCGCGCUCCGAAAGCCGCGUCAUCAUAGGCAUCCAUUCCGCGGAUGCACCUGCCGAGGACACGAUUCGGAAGCCAGCGUCGCCUUUGCGCUUGCUGAUGCUGCUAACUCUGCCGAGCAGUGUGCGAUGUGGCAUCGCUGCUUUCUGCAAACGAACCUAGAACGCAUUCUACGCUGCAUCGACGCCCGAGAUGCAUACUCGGAACCGCGCGCUCGCGAAUACUUGAUCUCUCUUGGUAGGUUCGUUACGAGACGCGAGGUCUUGUCUCUGGAGCAGGUCCAUCUUGUGUUGCGCUCACGAGGCUACCGAGCGGAAACUUCUGCGGAUCGAGCGAUUCCGCGGUGCUCGGUACCGUUUCCAGGCCUGUGCACCUCGGCCGCCACGCGCGGCAACUGGGACCUCUCGGAUGAGCGAAUGCUAGCCCGGGGUAUCGCUCUGGUUGCCGAGUUUCUCCAGCGUGUCGCUUUGCAUCGCUGUCGGGUCGCUUACGUGAGCUACCUGUCGUUACCCAGACCGAUAUCGAGCCCCGAGCCCGCGUCGAGUACGCUGCACCUCGAAUGGAUGCGCGUAAAGGUGCUGCGAAGUCGUCGUAUCGCCAGGGCAGUGACAGCAGCGAUGCAGAUAGGAUUGCGCUAUGCACGAAACCCGUGGAUGCAUACCUCGUCCGGUCUUGUAUUCCCUAGCAGAGUGCUGUUCUGAAAGUGAUGCAACCUGGGUGUUAACGUGUCAGCGCUGAAGUACAUAGCCUCAUCGAUGGCGCCUGAUUUGCCGCAUCGAUCCCUGACCACCUGGGUCGCGGGCGUGCAGCGCCUCGUUCGACCAGAUGCAUAUGCACCUUGAGACACAACAAUAUCGACAAACAUGUACCGUGCGAUUCACGAGCGGGACUUUGACAUAUUGCAGCGUCCCCGGUGCGCGGUCUGCGACAGCGGCAUGCGGCAUGUGAGCGCUACCGCUGGCGUCGCAAACGUGCCCGCCGAGAACCCGAAGCACAACUAGAGCCGCGUUGGAUUAAAGUGGGACAG